rnacentral:rRNA from 1 species
GACUGCGGAGACAUUG